UACGGGGGGGCAAGCGUUGUUCGGAAUUACUGGGCGUAAAGGGCGUGUAGGCGGCCAACUAAGUCCGACGUGAAAUCCCCAGCUUAACCUGGGAACUGCGUCGGAUACUGGAUGGCUUGAAUCCGGGAGAGGGAUGCAGAAUUCCAGGUGUAGCGGUGAAAUGCGUAGAUAUCUGGAGGAACACCGGUGGCGAAGGCGGCAUCCUGGACCAACACUGACGCUGAGUGAGCGAAAGCCAGGGGAGCAAACGGG
rnacentral:rRNA from 1 species